rnacentral:lncRNA from 1 species
CCUGAACAUUAGCUGGGAGACACAAUGCUUAUUUACAGAGUCACAAUACUUAUUUACAAGGCAAGCAGAAAGUAGGGGAAGUCUGUGAGGAAUGGGAAUGAAAAGUGACAGGUUGUCCAAGAAACUAGAAUACUGCUGAUUCACCAAGUUCUUCUCUUCGAACUCUGCUUCAGGAAUACUUCCAUGUGUCUGUAGAGAGGACUCAGAAGAGGAAAGCAAGCAAGAAGGUCUUAUGCAACAGGUCUCAGAGGAUCUAUUUGUGCAUCUGCAGAGCUGAGCCAGACAUCUCCAAGCUUUCCCAGCGGAGGGCAAUUGCUGGAUUAGGUAAGGGAACUUUCCACCAUCUCUUCUGGGAGAUCUGGUCACAUCAGGUAGGUUGGAGG